UUUAACUGAGCGUUCAGUUACUUGACGUAGACCCGAAACCGGGCGACCUACCCAUGAGCAGGAUGAAGCGAAAGUAAAAUUUCGUGGAGGUCCGAACCCACGAGCGUUGAAAAGCUCGGGGAUGACUUGUGGGUAGCGGUGAAAUUCCAAUCGAGCCCGGAGAUAGCUGGUUCUCCCCGAAAUAGCUUUAGGGCUAGCCUCAAGGUGAGAGAUACGGAGGUAGAGCACUGAAUGUCCUAGGGGGUAUUGCACCUACCGAAGACUAUCAAACUCCGAAUGCCGUCAUCUUAUACUUGGGAGUCAGACUGUGGGUGAUAAGAUUCAUAGUCGAAAGGGCAACAGCCCAGAUCGUCAGCUAAGGUCCCUAAAUGUAAGUUAAGUGGUAAAGGAUGUGGGAUUGCACAGACAACCAGGAUGUUGGCUUAGAAGCAGCCACUCAUUCAAAGAGUGCGUAAUAGCUCACUGGUCGAGUGAUCCUGCGCCGAAGAUUUCCGGGGCUAAAACUUACUACCGAAGCUACGGCAUCAGUAAUGAUGGGUAGGGGAGCUUCCCAUACGGGUUGAAGCAUGACCGUAAGGACAUGUGGACAGUAUGGGAGUGAGAAUGUUGGCAUGAGUAGCGAGAUGUGGGUGAGAAUCCCACAGGCCGUAAACCCAAGGUUUCCAGGGGAAGGUUCGUCCGCCCUGGGUUAGUCGGGACCUAAGCUGAGGCCGAAAGGCGUAGGUGAUGGACAACAGGUUGAUAUUCCUGUACUACCGAUAACCGUUUGAGAGAAGGGAUGACACAGUAGGAUAAGCUAAGCACACUGUUGGUUAUGUGUGCCCAAGCAUUGAGGCAGUCAAAGUAGGCAAAUCCGCUUUGAUAAUGCUGGGAUGUGAUGGGGAGCGAAAUUUAGUAGCGAAGUAGCUGAUUUCACACUGUCAAGAAAAGUCUCUAUCGAGGUUAAAGGUACCCGUACCGCAAACCGACACAGGUGGGUGAGGAGAGUAUCCUAAGGCCAGCGAGAGAACUGUUGUUAAGGAACUCGGCAAAAUGACCCCGUAACUUAGGGAUAAGGGGUGCCACCAUCAGGUGGCCGCAGAGAAUAGGCCCAAGCGACUGUUUACCAAAAACAUAGGUUUCUGCUAAGUCGCAAGACGAUGUAUAGGAGCUGACGCCUGCCCGGUGCUGGAAGGUUAAGGGGAUCUGUUAGAGCAAUCGAAGCAGUGAACUUAAGCCCCAGUAAACGGCGGCCGUAACUAUAACGGUCCUAAGGUAGCGAAAUUCCUUGUCGGGUAAGUUCCGACCCGCACGAAAGGCGUAACGAUUUGGGCACUGUCUCAACAACAGACUCGGUGAAAUUGUAAUUCCGGUGAAGAUGCCGGAUACCUGCGACAGGACGGAAAGACCCCAUGGAGCUUUACUGUAGCUUGACAUUGGGUCUUGGUACUACAUGUACAGGAUAGGUGGGAGGCUUUGAAACCAGGACGCCAGUUUUGGCGGAGCCAUCCUUGGGAUACCACCCUUGUAGUACUGGGACUCUAACCAUAGGCCAUGAAUCUGGUCUUGGGACACUGUCAGGUGGGCAGUUUGACUGGGGCGGUCGCCUCCCAAAAGGUAACGGAGGCGCUCAAAGGUUCUCUCAGUACGGUCGGAAAUCGUACGUAGAGUGUAAAGGCAAAAGAGAGCUUGAUUGCAAGACAUACAGGUCGAGCAAGGAUGAAAAUCGGACUUAGUGAUCCGGUGGUUCUGCGUGGAAGGGCCAUCGCUCAACGGAUAAAAGCUACCCUGGGGAUAACAGGCUUAUCUCCCCCAAGAGUCCACAUCGACGGGGAGGUUUGGCACCUCGAUGUCGGCUCAUCACAUCCUGGGGCUGUAGUAGGUCCCAAGGGUUGGGCUGUUCGCCCAUUAAAGUGGUACGCGAGCUGGGUUCAGAACGUCGUGAGACAGUUCGGUCCCUAUCCGUCGCAGGCGUAGGAAAUUUGAGAAGACCUGUCCUUAGUACGAGAGGACCGGGAUGGACGUACCUCUGGUGUACCAGUUGUCCUGCCAAGGGCAUGGCUGGGUAG
rnacentral:rRNA from 1 species